AUGAACCCCUCCUCGGCCCCGGGGCCGGAUGGCCUGCCAGUUACAUUUUUUAAGACGUUCUGGUCGACCAUCAAGCCGGAGGUCAUGGCUCUGUUCGAGGAAUUCUUCUCUGGCACCAUGGAUCUUGGGCGCCUCAACUAUGGCAUCGUGACUCUUAUUCCCAAGGUCCCGGGCGCCUCCGACAUCCGCCAAUUUCGGCCAAUCACCGUGAUCAAUGUGAUAUUCCGGAUUCUGGCCAAAGGGUACGCCAAUAGGGUGACCCUGCUCGCGAACACAAUUAGCCACCCGAACCAAUCCGCCUUCAUUCAAGGCCGAUUUAUUUUGGAUGGGGUUCUGGUGUUCCACGAAGUCCUCCAUGAGGUUCGGCUGCGUCAUCAUCGAGCGGUGUUUCUGAAGCUCGACUUCCACAAGGCCUAUGACACGGUCCACUGGCCCUUC
rnacentral:rRNA from 1 species